rnacentral:rRNA from 1 species
AACGAACGUUAGCGGCGCGCCUAACACAUGCAAGUCGAGCGAGAAAGGGCUUCGGCCCCGGUAAAGCGGCGCACGGGUGAGUAACACGUAGGUAAUCUGCCCUCGAGUGGUGGAUAACUCUCCGAAAGGGGAGCUAAUACAGCAUAAGACCACGAUUCUCCGGAGUCGCGGCCAAAGCGGGCCUCUCCAUGGAAGCUCGUGCUUGAGGAUGAGCCUGCGGCCCAUCAGCUAGUUGGCGGUGUAAUAGACCACCAAGGCUAAGACGGGUAGCUGGUCUGAGAGGAUGAACAGCCGCACUGGAACUGAGACACGGUCCAGACUCCUACGGGAGGCAGCAGUGGGGAAUCUUGCGCAAUGGGGGAACCCCUGACGAAGCGACGCCGCGUGAGCGAUGAAGGCCUUCGGGUUGUAAAGCCCUGUGGAGAGGGACGAAUAAGUGCAAGCUAACAUCUUGCAUGAUGACGGUACCUCUUUAGCAAGCACCGGCUAACUCUGUGCCAGCCGCCGCAGUAAGAC